rnacentral:rRNA from 1 species
AUGCAUAUUUACAAUCUUCUGUGUGUCCUAAUGAAGUUGGUUGUGAUCAAAGAAACCACGGAGCCACACGCAUACGACGCCGCGGCGAGCACGGCGGCGGCGCCCAGCAAGACGGCCUUCCACUGCCUCGUCGCCGCCAAGACUGCCGCGGCGGCAGCCACCGCAGCGAGCACGACGAAGGCCUUCUUCAGGGCGGUGUACCUGUUGACACUGUCCCUGCACCCCUUGCAGUGCACGACGUGCCGGAAGUACCUGUUGGUCGGGUUGGGCGCGUGCUGCGUGCCGAAGCCGCCCUUGGCCGGGAACGACGCGGAGAUGCCCGCGGCGGCCCCCGCCGGCGCCUGCUCCACGACUGCCGGCACGGGCGGCGGCGAGAUGGUGCUGUGGCCGAAGUAG